AGUGAACGCUGGCGGUAGGCCUAACACAUGCAAGUCGAACGGCAGCACAGUAAGAGCUUGCUCUUACGGGUGGCGAGUGGCGGACGGGUGAGGAAUACAUCGGAAUCUACUUUUUCGUGGGGGAUAACGUAGGGAAACUUACGCUAAUACCGCAUACGACCUACGGGUGAAAGCAGGGGAUCUUCGGACCUUGCGCGAUUGAAUGAGCCGAUGUCGGAUUAGCUAGUUGGCGGGGUAAAGGCCCACCAAGGCGACGAUCCGUAGCUGGUCUGAGGGGAUGAUCAGCCACACUGGAACUGAGACACGGUCCAGAAUCCUACGGGAGGCAGCAGUGGGGAAUAUUGGACAAUGGGAGCAAGCCUGAUCCAGCCAUACCGCGUGGGUGAAGAAGGCCUUCGGGUUGUAAAGCCCUUUUGUUGGGAAAGAAAAGCAGCAGGUUAAUACCCCGCUGUUCUGACGGUACCCAAAGGAUAAGCACCGGCUAACUUCGU
rnacentral:rRNA from 1 species